rnacentral:rRNA from 1 species
GAUCCUGGCUCAGGAUGAACGCUGGCGGCGUGCCUAAUACAUGCAAGUAGAACGCUGAAGGAGGAGCUUGCUCUUCUGGAUGAGUUGCGAACGGGUGAGUAACGCGUAGGUAACCUGCCUGGUAGCGGGGGGAUAACUAUUGGAAACGAUAGCUAAUACCGCAUGACAACAGUUAUUGCAUGAUAGCUGUUUAAAAAGGGGGCAAUUGCUCCACUACCAGAUGGACCUGCGUUG